rnacentral:misc_RNA from 1 species
CCGCGGAGAACCCGCCUCUCUUCCGAAAACGCCGUGGUAGAACCUGCACAUCAAGGCACACACAGGCGUAGCCAGAUCAUUUUUUAUCAUGCGCAAGCCCUCGUUACAGCAGGGCACUCGCAAACCGUCGCGAUCCCCGGCGGGUCCCCGCGGUAUCCCUCCGGUGGUGCGCCAGGCACCCCUUUCAAGCGACCUCGACACACCGCCGCCACCGUCACGGCGUCUGCGCAGCCGCAGCAGCCUGCUUGAAACAACGCCCUCGCCGCCGUCGCUCCCGCUGACAAGCGAGAUCUGCAUCAACGUGGUAGCUGCGCAGCCUUGUUUGCGCAGUAAGCCAGUCUUUCAGCGGCGCACCGCCUUGUCCGUGUGCAAGACCAGCGCUACAGCGCUAGUCGCUCCGCAAACAAGCCGUGUGCUGAGCAGGAGCGAGGCUCGCCGGCGCAGGGAACACGUGCCGAAAGGGCACCCCGGAAGCCACUCCGCAGACGCGAUGGCGCUGCGACGUCCAAAGGUGCGCAGUUCCGGUUGCGUAGUCAGCUCCGCGCGGCCAGCUGCGAUUACCACCGAUGAGCCUAUUGCAUCGCAGUCCUCAUUGCGGAUUUCACCAGACAGCUCCACGAGCGAGUACGCGGGCGUGACAACCCACCACGGGCCGCGGCGCCAACUCGAGGCCUUUGACCGCUCAGCUGUGCCGACGCUGGUGCUCUCCCCCGUUUCAGAAGCGGUGUCUGCGUCGUUCUCCCCGCAUACGCCGCUGUUUGCACGAGAGGAAGGGGCACCGCCGAUGCCGAGGGUCGCCGCUGCAGAUGGCCCACCAAUGAGCGGCCGGGCAACCGUCACUGCCUUGUUCACGCUCCCACAGACGCUAAACAUGACGCACUCAUCUACUCUGUCAAGUUUGCGCGAAGCUGCGCCCACCUCUGUGGAGGCAGCGCCUCUAGUCCACUUGGCACCGCUUCUCGAGUCGCGCUGCACGACCUCCUCGGGUCAGCAAAAUGAGGAGCGCACAGCCGGGCACCCGUCCGCGUCGCACCAUUUGACUCGCCCCAGUGCGAUUGACGACUCGGCAACUUCCUUCGCCUCCUUGUGGAGCCCUCCCAUGCCGCCGAUCGCCGUAAACAGACAAUCGACCCCAUCCGUGCCGAGUAUCACCGGCACCCCGGGCUAUCCCACGAUGAUGGACACCGCUUUCCCUCCGCCAGCGGGCAGCCACGUGGCCUGGUUGCCUGCCACCAACGCCCGGGACUUAUUAGAAUGCGCUCCCACGUCGUAUCCCGAGUCAUCUCCAAGCGAGCUGCAACCCCUCAACAUGCCACCACUAAUGGAAGGUGACGGCUCUCAUCACCGCCAUAGUUGCAUGGCACCAGCGUCGCAGGGAACGGAGAGCAACAAUGCCACACCUGCACAAGUCAAGUCGUGUUCGCUCGGUACACCGCCGCUGUCCCACAACCCUGUCGCUGAAAAUCCAUGUAGCACACCACCCACGGCCUCGGCACACGACGUCUCAGAUGUGGUGCAUAUCACGCACCCCCCAGAGCAGCACCGACUGCGUUCCGUCUUGCCAUCGUCAGGGCAUGCUGUGAAGGCCUCGAUUCCAUUGCAGCGCGUCUCAGCGAGCUCCGCCUUGACUCACGGUGCGUCUGUACGUCCAACGCUCAUGAGGGAGGGCGCGACUUGUGGUGAGGGCGCGAGGGUGACCUUGUCAGGCAGCGAUGUCUGCACACCAUCUUGUCACUCCGCUCAUCGUGCCCGAACGCUGUGCGCUAGUCCCAGUAGAACGCCCCGCUACCUGAGCAACUCCUCGGACCGCCACAGACCUUUGACGCCUACCAUGUCUGCUGCCGGGGCAGGAAACUCCGUUGCCUCGGCUCUCACCAAAUCGCCCGCUGGAACCCUGUCCGCUGAGCUCACUAGGCGUGCAAUAAAGGAGCGUCGCCGACGGGAGCUUUACGCAUGGAAUGAGCAUCUUCGUUUGCAGAACGAGUCCAGCGUGCAGGACGCUGUCUGACACAUACACAUAUGAGUAUGUUUCGCAUCAUCCGCUCGGGUAGGGGGGGGUGGCUGUGCUUCGCUGCGUUGAUGCCCUUUCUCUCUUACCCUCUCCCUCUUGUCAGAGCGCUGGCCACGCCAUCCUCCUUUGCUGCAACCCUUUAGGCUGAGUACUCGGUGACUGUUUCUCUCUCUGUGUCUCUGUCUAUGUGUCUCCGCACGAGUCUGCAGCUUCAUCCCUUCGACCCCUCCGAUCCACUCCCCCCCCCCCCACACACAUACACUUCUUACAACUUGCGAUGUGAACCCAUGACACUCAACUCGAUGGACCCCAGCCCCAGUGUAACUGAGAACCAAGAGAAAUUCUGUUCCAGAGAUGCACAUGGGCCGUCAAGAGCCGCUACCGACGGCCUUAGUGCCGUGUUGCACAUGCGGGCGUCGCAGCCUUGCACCUGCCCCUUGUUCGGCUUAACCAUCACACA